AUGAACGCUGGCGGCGUGCCUCAUACAUGCAAGUCGAGCGAACGGACGAGAAGCUUGCUUCUCUGAUGUUAGCGGCGGACGGGUGAGUAACACGUGGAUAACCUACCUAUAAGACUGGGAUAACUUCGGGAAACCGGAGCUAAUACCGGAUAAUAUUUUGAACCGCAUGGUUCCAAAGUGAAAGACGGUCUUGCUGUCACUUAUAGAUGGAUCCGCGCUGCAUUAGCUAGUUGGUAAGGUAACGGCUUACCAAGGCAACGAUGCAUAGCCGACCUGAGAGGGUGAUCGGCCACACUGGAACUGAGACACGGUCCAGACUCCUACGGGAGGCAGCAGUAGGGAAUCUUCCGCAAUGGGCGAAAGCCUGACGGAGCAACGCCGCGUGAGUGAUGAAGGUCUUCGGAUCGUAAAACUCUGUUAUUAGGGAAGAACAUAUGUGUAAGUAACUGUGCACAUCUUGACGGUACCUAAUCAGAAAGCCACGGCUAACUACGUG
rnacentral:rRNA from 1 species